CGCUCUUCCUCCCUCCCGCAGGUCUUCCUCCAUCUUUUCUUUACCCUCCUCCGUUAGCUGUUACCACGAGUCCUGAAUAUUAAUCGGCCGCUUUAAUUCAUCGGCUGUGUUUGUGUUACGACUGGAGGGGAAAGACACGCUCAACAAUAUACUGUCCCUGAUCAGCACCAUUAUACGUGUUGGGUUUUUUGCAGCCUUCUCAUUCCUACACCGGCAGCUGGCUGGCCCAUUGAGCGUUUUCCCGUCUUAGAUAUGCACUUGAUGGCUGCGUACGUUGUGGCGCCCAGGAGAGCGGGAGAGAUACCUGGAGGUCUGACGGACUGAACGCGGUCAGCCGCUUUGCAGCAGACUGAACGAGUCCUGCUCGUCUUCAUACCCGGCGAGGUGCGCUGGUGGAACUGCUCAGACGGUUUGUCUCCUCCCUCCUCGCCAUCUUCGCCAUUCCUCCCUUCUCUGCCACCACUGUACUUCACUGUGUGUUUGUGUGCGUUAAUUGGAGGUGUGUUUGAGGUGUUGAACACAGGCGCCUAUGUCUCUCUCUCUCCCGCUCUCCGUCGCUCUGUCCUCUGUCUCUGCAUCUGAAUCUUUGGAAAUAACGAGGUGGAAGCGGAGAGACUGAGGACCGGCCGAGGAGGAAGGCGCAAGAUGUAGGAGGCCUGAGAGACUUGUUCCACUUAGUGUUGGGGGGGAGGAGGUCACGGUCCCAAUCCUCGGCGGCCAGUUCCCGCAGACCAUCAGGGUUGAGGGUGUGUGUGUGUGUGUAUGACCUUUUUUCUUUGUUGUUGUUUCUCAGGCCCUUGUGUUGCUCCCACCUCUGAGACCCAUGAUGCACUGCUCCCGUGAACCAACUGGAGCAAUUAGUGUGUGUGCGCUUGCAUGUGUGUGUGUUUGCCACUCGACAAGUUUCUACAUGCUCACCCAGAGAGAAGUAAAGUAGGUUAGUCUGUUAUUUGGUGUUUUUUUGUCUUGCAUUCCUUUAGCUUGCCUUUGACUCCGUCUUCGCCUCCUCGGUGCAGAAGCAUGAAAAAUGAAUAAGACAGUGCAGCUUGUUUGAUCGUCUCUGUAAUUUGAGAUGGGCGGAUGAGGGGGGUGACGGGGGGGUUAAGAUGAGCUCAACCAUUAGCCCACUCUCUGAAAGAUGAUGCUAAGUGUAGAGGCGACAAUUGCAUCAUCACGCCCCCGCCCCGGCCUCCCCCUCCACUUUCCCUGUGUAAAUGUCCCGCUUCUUUAUUUUCGUCUGGCUUCCCUUGUUUUACCUCUUUAGCCCUCACUCCCCAUGGUGCAAUUUCCCCCCAGAUAUAUUCUACACUCAAUACUCAUCUACUUUCCUCCUAAAUCUUUGCCCCUGUGUGUGUGUAUUGUGAGUCCCCCUCACAAACCCAUAAUCUUUAUAGCUCCCGAGGAUAUUUGCCCUUUGCGGCAGUAGUAGGCAACAGUAGGCGCUUCCACCGGACGACCAUAACUCAAGAGUCCGUUUUACGACUCAUAGCCUAAUUCCGUGUCUAAAUAAUUACAUAUGAAAUCCAGCUAAAUCACUCAAUCUAACCUUGGAUCCGGCAGACGCAACACACUGGCAGCCCCAAACAGCGAAAUGACACCACCUCGAAAUGACACCACCAAAUGGAUUCUGGACCAUGUCGGCCGGCUGCUCUGAGGCUCCCUAAUUAAUGACAGCGGCCAAUAAUAAUUAGAGCCGGCCACCGGCGAGCACAAUGUGGAAAAGUGGUGUUUGAUCUGGUGUCCGUCCACAGCCUGCGAGCCCCACGGGCGCCGUCAUGCCACGCUGCCCUGCCACGCUGUCAUGCCACGCUGCCCUGCCACGCUGCCAUGCCACGCUGCCAUUCCCCGCUAGCACCUGCACUCAAACUGCGGCAGUAACAGCUCUUUAGUGGGUUUGUGUGUGUUGGAACGGGAGCUGAAUGACACAGGCUGAUGGGAAAGGGGAGUGGGGGUGAUUCACAACAAUACGACAGCGUCAGCCGCUCGCCUCUCGGGCUCACCCAACAAAAGGGGAGCUCCGAUACAUCUGUGCGAGCGGGAAGCGGCCCCUCUCUUGUGAGCAAACAGGUGUGUGAACAAACCCGCCAAGCGGGAAAAAACGCCGCACAAUGGCGCGCAUGUUUUCUGCGUGUUCUCCGGAGCAAACAUGUUCUCACACAGAUGUAGACCUGGGAAUGUGUGUCUGCCGCACCAAACACGCGUCCUGAGCGCACACACGCCGUGCAUUCGGAAUGAGCUGUCGGCCCGCUAACGAGGGAAUAUUGGCUUCAUGCUACACGAGAUUGCUGUUGUGUACUGAAAUGUCUCCAAGGGUGCUCUUUGUUCGUAGAUCAAGCACCAGCAAGGCGAACAGCUUUUUGAUAUAUGCACAUUAUUGAGAUUGCAAACAAUUUAUUUCAGAUUAAGAAUGUGUGCGUCUGGUGCACAUACUGUACGUUUUCAAUCCUUUUAUGGGGCAAUCUAUGCAGAGAAAUGUGCGUUUAUUUCUCCAUGCAUCACCUCCAUCUGUAUUACCUCCAUCUGAACAGCUGAUAAAGUGUUACCUCACUAUGCAGUUUGCACAUCUGCACAGACUUCUGUUUUUCAUCAUUUUUCCAUCUGCACGGCUAAUUAUGGGAAAAGCUCCCACUGCCCACUGGCGCGUUUUCUUGUAACCUGUCACAUGUGUACUGAAUUUAUCUUUCUGUCUUCUAUAUCCUGCAUUCAUUUCACAAGACCCGCUCAUUGUUAGCGCUCCACCAAUUGUUUUUCUUCAGAGGCAGAUUUUGUUGCUCUGCAGCCUCGAAGUCAUUAAUCAAAAUACUGAUUAACAUAAUGCACCGUGUUUUUUAGACGGAUAUUUUAAGAUGCAUGAAAAAGUACACAUGAAAAGUAAACAUCCGUUAUACCGUUAAGGGUUGUGGUGAACACCCUGGACCGCAGGCAAGAGUUUCACUAAUGUAUUUCACUGUGUUGACAUUUUAUCCAAGUAUAUCAUGUAUUAAUGGACUGCGGUAAAAACAGACAGAUUGUAAUACAGUAUACCAUUUUUUAUCAUAGCAUUAUAUACCCACUUGAAACAGUUUUUAGUCUCUCAUACAAUAUGUUGUAUUGAUAUGACAUAAUGUUGAAGAAACACACACUGCAUUCCUCACAUUCUGUCUGAAUAUAGCUGUAUUCACUCUGAUUGGUCGGUGAUUUCCAGCCUCCACGUACACGGAAGCCGGAUACUCACUGAGUCACCACUUGCAUUGGGACGGUGUAGCACUCUGCUGUAAAUGUACCGUUCACAGCUAAUGCCGGACCCAAGUUAUUAGUUAAGAUAUCAGCGGCAAUCACAGCCCAUUUCAUUCACAACAACACUCCCCACCCUCAACGCGUCUCUCUGUGAGGUCUACUUGGGCUCACCAUUACCUGGCAAGGUCAUUUGGUUGUGUGUGUGUGUGUGUG
ensembl:lncRNA